rnacentral:rRNA from 1 species
UACGAAGGGGGCUAGCGUUGUUCGGAAUCACUGGGCGUAAAGCGCACGUAGGCGGACUUUCAAGUCAGGGGUGAAAUCCCGGGGCUCAACCUCGGAAUUGCCUUUGAUACUGUAAGUCUCGAGUCCGGAAGAGGUGGGUGGAAUUCCUAGUGUAGAGGUGAAAUUCGUAGAUAUUAGGAAGAGCACCGGUGGCGAAGGCGGCCCACUGGUCCGGUACUGACGCUGAGGUGCGAAAGCGUGGGGAGCAAACAGG